GAUCCGGCUCAGGAUAAACGCUGGCGGCGCACAUAAGACAUGCAAGUCGAACGGAAGUCGUUAUAAAAAGGAUUGAAGAUUUAUCUGAUUGAGAUUUUAUAACAAUGGCUUUAGUGGCGGACUGGUGAGUAACGCGUGAGCAACCUGCCUACUAGAGGGGAAUAACAGUGAGGAAUCAUUGCUAAUACCGCAUAUGCCAUGAACAUCACAUGAUGAAAAUGGGAAAAGAG
rnacentral:rRNA from 1 species